rnacentral:rRNA from 1 species
GUGGGGAAUUUUGGACAAUGGGCGCAAGCCUGAUCCAGCAAUGCCGCGUGCAGGAAGAAGGCCUUCGGGUUGUAAACUGCUUUUGUACGGAACGAAACGGUCCUGGCUAAUAUCCGGGGCUAAUGACGGUACCGUAAGAAUAAGCACCGGCUAACUACGUGCCAGCAGCCGCGGUAAUACGUAGGGUGCGAGCGUUAAUCGGAAUUACUGGGCGUAAAGCGUGCGCAGGCGGUGCUGUAAGACAGGCGUGAAAUCCCCGGGCUCAACCUGGGAAUUGCGCUUGUGACUGCAGUGCUGGAGUGCGGCAGAGGGGGAUGGAAUUCCGCGUGUAGCAGUGAAAUGCGUAGAUAUGCGGAGGAACACCGAUGGCGAAGGCAAUCCCCUGGGCCUGCACUGACGCUCAUGCACGAAAGCGUGGGGAGCAAACAGGAUUAGAUACCCCGGUAGUCC